CCUACGGGAGGCAGCAGUAGGGAAUAUUGCUCAAUGGGGGAAACCCUGAAGCAGCAACGCCGCGUGGAGGAUGAAGGUUUUCGGAUUGUAAACUCCUUUUGUUAGAGAAGAUAAUGACGGUAUCUAACGAAUAAGCACUUGCUAACUCCGUGCCAGCAGCCGCGGUAAUACUGAGGGUGCAAGCGUUACUCGGAAUUACUGGGCGUAAAGAGCGCGGAGGCGGGAUAGCAAGUCUGAUGUGAAAUCCUAUGGCUUAACCAUAGAACUGCAUUUGAAACUGUUAUUCUUGAGUAUGGAAGAGGAAGGUGGAAUUCUUGGUGUAGGGGUAAAAUGCGUAGAGAUCAGGAGGAAUACUCAUUGCGAAGGCGACCUGCUAGAACAUAACUGACGCUGAUGCGCGAAAGCGUGGGGAGCAAACAGGAUUAGAUACCCUAGUAGUC
rnacentral:rRNA from 1 species